rnacentral:rRNA from 1 species
AUUGAACGCUGGCGGCAGGCCUAACACAUGCAAGUCGAACGGUAACAGGAAACAGCUUGCUGUUUCGCUGACGAGUGGCGGACGGGUGAGUAAUGUCUGGGAAACUGCCUGAUGGAGGGGGAUAACUACUGGAAACGGUAGCUAAUACCGCAUAACGUCGCAAGACCAAAGAGGGGGACCUUCGGGCCUCUUGCCAUCGGAUGUGCCCAGAUGGGAUUAGCUAGUAGGUGGGGUAACGGCUCACCUAGGCGACGAUCCCUAGCUGGUCUGAGAGGAGGACCAGCCACACUGGAACUGAGACACGGUCCAGACUCCUACGGGAGGCAGCAGUGGGGAAUAUUGCACAAUGGGCGCAAGCCUGAUGCAGCCAUGCCGCGUGUAUGAAGAAGGCCUUCGGGUUGUAAAGUACUUUCAGCGGGGAGGAAGGGAGUAAAGUUAAUACCUUUGCUCAUUGACGUUACCCGCAGAAGAAGCACCGGCUAACUCCGUG